rnacentral:rRNA from 1 species
GAUGAACGCUGGCGGCGUGCUUAAUACAUGCAAGUCGAGCGAACGGACGAGAAGCUUGUUUUUCUGAUGUUAGCGGCGGACGGGUGAGUAACACGUGGAUAACCUACCUAUAAGACUGGGAUAACUUCGGGAAACCGGAGCUAAUACCGGAUAAUAUUUUGAACCGCAUGGUUCAAGAGUGAAUGACGGUCUUGCUGUCACUUAUAGAUGGUUCCGCGCUGCAUUAGCUAGUUGGUAAGGUAACGGCUUACUAAGGCAACGAUGGAUAGCCGACCUGAGAGGGAGAUCGGCGACGCUGGAACUGGGACGCGGUCAAGACUCCUACGGGAGGCAGCAGUAGGGGAUCUGCCGCAAUGGGCGAGAGCCUGACGGAGCAGCGGCGCGUGAGUGAUGAAGAUGUCGGGAUCGGGAAACUCUGUUACUAGGGAAGAACAGAUGUGUAAGUAGCUGUACAGAUCGUGACGGUACCGGAUCAAGAAGCCACGGCUAACUACGUG